AAUGGUAACCCACAUGAGAGUCAUAAACUUUAAUGGGCUGAUCCAAACAUUGUUGCCUUGCCAAGGGAUUUUCACAAACCCCUUAACAGAGAUUUAGAAGAAGAAGAGAGGCUUUAACCAGCCACAAACUCAUGAAACAUUGCCAUUUUAAUCGUCUAUGUUAAUGACAUAAAGGAGCUACUAAAGGAAGCCGGAAUUAUGCCGCCGACACAUCUCACCAUCACCCAACCGUUUCUUUUAUUGUCUUUUUUAUACAUUAAUCAGACAACCAGGCAAAAUGGUUCUAACUACUUUAGUCGAAUAAAUCUUUUAUACUUUAUUUACCAUUGUUUCUUUUGGGUACCGACAUUAACAACAUCCUCGAAACUAACAUCUUAACAGCCUGGUUGAAACAGGUCUCAAAACACAAUGAGACAUGUCCUCUCUUAGGUUGAAAUGUCUACCUAGAAAGGCCACAUUUUCUCCUUCGGUUUUUUUCUGUUGCUGUUGUCUUACUCAGAAAAAACUCUGGUUUCUCAAAAGACAUAACAAUGGUGAAGCGUCAGCCUUUUCUAAAGGAGCAAUCACUAGAGCAACGACUGGAAGAAUCAAAAACUAUAUUAGCCAAAUACCCAGAUCGAAUUCCUGUGAUCAUUGAAAGGUAUUCAAGGACAGACCUCCCAGAUAUAGAGAAGAAUAAGUUCCUGGUUCCUCGAGACAUGUUGGUGGGUCAGUUCAUUCACAUUUUAAGUAGCAGGCUACAUUUGAGUCCUGGAAAAGCUCACUUUGUUUUUGUGCACAAUACAUUACCUCAAACAGCAAGUCUCAUGGGGUGUGUCUAUAAUUCUUUCAAAGAUGAUGAUGGGUUUCUCUACAUGUGUUACAGCACUGAGGAAACUUUUGGCUAAACUCUCCUCUGCAUCUUUAAUCUUCAAUCAAUGUGCCUGCUCUGCUGUUGGUCCAGAAUACGCAAGGUGAACUCUGCAAAUAUUUUAGAACCAUCCAAAAGUGUGGCAGAAUCUGCUAAAGCCAAAUACAUGGAGAUAUGAGUGCCUAAUCCAUGCCGUCUUCCUCUGGGAAAAAGAUGUAUUUUCCUGCAUCAUAAAGGUGAACAAAAUCCCCUUGAAAUUGCAAUUAAAAUCUUAGAAUAUCGUUACAGCAUAUCUCACAGAUAAUAUGAAGGUAUCGUCCUCUUUGGGUGUUGUUGAAGAACCGGCGCACCCUCAAGGUUUUGUCCUCAUGUGAUUGCUUUUCUUUAGUCAUGGUUUUGCCUGUUCAAGCAUCAAGAGACACCCUUAAGCUCUCUUUAGAGCCGAGAGAGACAAAACCUUGAAGGUGCUCCUUUUAUCACCACAAUAUGCUCUAACAGAUAUCAUAGAGGAGUAGGAGAUAAAGUGGAUAUAUACCAUUUAUGAUUGGCAGCAAAGAAUUGUUGUGAUUCAUUGUACUCUGAAUCUAAAUUGGAAAAGUUUUCAAUCUUCCAAACAUGCUUGGAACUUAAGGCAUCCUUUAUCAUUGAUAAGCAUUCUCCUUUCCCUGAGCUCAUUUCCUUGGUAACAAACACUUCAGCUCCAAACACACAACUGUCAUCCAGUAGGUAUCCAUUGCCAACAUCAUUAAAACUUCUAAUUGGUAUCAACUGAUCAAAUCCCCACUGAUGCAUUGAUCUAUGAAACGGCCUUUCUUUUCCCGCGGCAUCUAGGCAUCAAAAUCAGAGGAAAAACCGGAAAACAGCGUGGACUUCCGAAUCAAGACGAAUCAGAGAAGCAACAUCUGCAAAAACCAAGUAGAGAGAAAGGUGCUCUUUUACAUUUCUACUCUUGUUUCCAUGUGGGUACAGCACCAGUUUCCUGUGACCAUACACAAAUUAAAAGAAGGCUAAUUAAGCCAAUAAACAUACACGGUUUUGAAGAAA